rnacentral:rRNA from 1 species
GGGGGGGGGGGGGGGGGGGGGGGGGGGGGGCGGGUGGGGGGGGGAGGGGGGGAGCUGGCGCGUGUUGGAUGGGGUGCGAAGGGGUGGGUAACGCGGAGGGAACCUGGCUGGUAGGGGGGGAUGUCGGUUGGAACCGAUAGCUAAUACCGCAUAAACUGGAGUAUCGCGUGAUAGUCCAUUGAAAGGUGCAAAUGCAUCACUACCAGAUGGACCUGCGUUGUAUUCGCUAGUUGGUGGGGUAACGGCUGACCAAGGCGACGAUACAUAGCCGACCUGAGAGGGUGAUCGGCCACACUGGGACUGAGACACGGCCCAGAAUCCUACGGGAGGCAGCAGUAGGGAAUCUUCGGCAAUGGACGGAAGUCUGACCGAGCAACGCCGCGUGAGUGAAGAAGGUUUUCGGAUCGUAAAGCUCUGUUGUAAGAGAAGAACGAGUGUGAGAGUGGAAAGUUCACACUGUGACGGUAUCUUACCAGAAAGGGACGGCUAACUACGUG